CUUAUUUAGGUUGGCUAAAUAUAUACGUUUUCCGUAUGCGAUUUUCGAAUUCGUUUUCCGUAUUCGGAAAUCCUAAAGCAUGGAAUCAGUA